rnacentral:piRNA from 1 species
CCCCUUGGACCAAUUUCCUGCAAGAUACUU